CAAAGAAGUGUGUGUCCUGGCCAGCGCCAUUUUGGGGAUUCCGGAUGUCUAUCAGAAACACUAAGGUUUUCAACAUGAGAAGCAACGCUUGAGCCACCAAAGAGGAUCCCAAGGAGGAUAAGAACAAGUCAAUGGAAGUCACUUUAUAACUUGGAAUGAGAAUCUCAAGAGUGAGCCAUGGCAAGCAAGAGAGUGGGAAAACUAGCUACAUAAGAAAUACAAGAAGAAACCCUAUAGCCCAGAUAAGACUGGGUUUUCCCUCUUCUGUUUUCUCCCAGAGGGAGCAAACCAGUUUACUUAACUGACUUAGCAGAUCGCUCUUCUUGUUUCCUGGUGCCUCAGGUGGCUCAAGUUUUCCACUGCAGAAGGAAAUUCAGCUCUGUUUCCUGAACACAGAUGACAGAGGAUGUGGUUAUAAGGGCCUUUCAUUUGGAGCUACUUGUGAUUCCUCUUUUCCUCUCUGGUGCCCCUGUGUGACUUCUACAGAUCUUAUCAUCUGAAGUAUCAUCUACAAGGUAGUCAAAGCUGGGCAAUGGGAGGUCCUGCAAGAGUUUGGAAGG